rnacentral:rRNA from 1 species
UGGGGAAUAUUGGACAAUGGGGGGAACCCUGAUCCAGCAAUGCCGCGUGUGUGAAGAAGGCCUGAGGGUUGUAAAGCACUUUCAGAGGGGAGGAGGACUAUUAGGUUAAGAGCUAGAUAGUUGGACGUUACCCUCAGAAGCAGCACCGGCUAACUCCGUGCCAGCAGCCGCGGUAAUACGGGGGGUGCAAGCGUUGUUCGGAUUUACUGGGCGUAAAGGGCGCGUAGGCGGCAAUUCAAGUCAUCUGUGAAAUCUCCGGGCUUAACUCGGAACGGUCAGAUGAUACUGCUUUGCUAGAGUGCAGAAGGGGCAAUCGGAAUUCUUGGUGUAGCGGUGAAAUGCGUAGAUAUCAAGAGGAACACCUGAGGUGAAGACGGGUUGCUGGGCUGACACUGACGCUGAGGCGCGAAAGCCAGGGGAGCAAACGGGAUUAGAUACCCGCGUAGUCCCUGAGCGGGCUGGCAAGGCGCAU